rnacentral:rRNA from 1 species
UACGUAGGUGGCAAGCGUUGUCCGGAUUUACUGGGCGUAAAGGAUGCGUAGGUGGAUAUGCAAGUCAGAUGUGAAAUACCCGGGCUUAACUCGGGUGCUGCAUUUGAAACUAUAUAUCUAGAGUGCAGGAGAGGUAAGUGGAAUUCCUAGUGUAGCGGUGAAAUGCGUAGAGAUUAGGAAGAACACCAGCGGCGAAAGCGCGUGACUGGGCCAGUACUGACACUCAUGGACGAAAGCUAGGGGAGCGAAAGGG